UACGUAAAUAAAAUGAUAAAAAACGAUAAAAAUUUGUAUAAAAUAAAAGACGAUUGGCUCAAAUCAUUCAUUUCACACAAAAAUGAAACUCUUAUUCAUUGUCUUACUUUCUGUAGUACUCUACAAUAGUGUUUCAGGAAUACUGAAGUGCUACGAAUGCACUGGAGAAGAAGAAUGUUCUAAAAGUUUAGAAGACCAGAAAGACACUUGUGGUGAUAAACAAAGAUAUUGUACCAGUGGAUUGAAACCCAAUAUAGACGAUGAUGGAGUGACAAAAUUCAGAGAAUGUUUGUACGGAAGUGUUGAUGCAGAUUUGGAAGAAUAUUGUGAUUGGAUGGUCCGUAGGGGAGGAGAGUGUUACUGGUGUAAAGAAGAUUAUUGCAACGAAAAAAUAACUUCAAAACAAUAAAUAAUAAUAAAAAUUUUGAAAUUA